AAAAAAGCCCACUAAAUCAAAACCUAAAAAGGUGACUUAGGCAAAAAUAGGGCAUCCCGAUGAACUCAAAGCUUUGAAGAAGUAAUCUAGGCAAAAAUUAGGGAUAACAAAAAUAAAAAUCAAUCAAAAGAGGUCAAUGAAAACCUCAUCAAAGACAAGAUGAGGUGACCACCAUAUCAAAAAAUCAAAAGGGUCACAAAAAUUAUUGACAAAAAAAAA
rnacentral:lncRNA from 1 species